CGUAAGUCUGGUAACAUGGGCGUAGGGGUGGAGGUGGUCCACCAUAAUAGCAAGGUCCCCCACCAACGCCAUGAUAGCAUUCCGUGCAACAGCAUCCGAUGGGGGGAUAAGCCAUUGGUGGUGGAGGACAAGGUUCUGGAACCUUUGGUGCUGCUGCUGGCGGUUUCGGUGGUGGUUCUUUUCGUUUCUCAGGUUCCUUAGGCUUUUCGGGUUGUUUAGGUUUCUCGGGUUCUUUGGGUUUUUCGGGUUCUUUCGGCUUUUCGGGUUGUUUAGGUUUCUCGGGUUCUUUGGGUUUUUCGGGUUCUUUUGGUUUUUCGGGUGCUUUAGGCUUUUCGGGUUCUUUUGGUUUUUCUGGUACUUUAGGCUUCUCUGGUUCUUUGGGUUUUUCAGGUUCUUUGGGCUUUUCGGGUUCUUUAGGCUUCUCAGGCUCCUUGGGUUUGGGAGGAGGAGGUGGAGGUUUGAUCUCAAUGCUCUUGAUUGAUCCAGCACCCUUGCAACAUAUCUUGUCCCUCAGCUUCUCAG
rnacentral:lncRNA from 1 species